rnacentral:rRNA from 1 species
CAACAAUGCAUGUUGUUUUUGUUGCUGGCUGCUGAUAGUACAGUAUGAUGUUCGUCCCAAAAUGUAGUAUGUGAACCUAAUCUCUGUUAGCAGCAGAGCACAUACUUCCAAAGAUUUUUUAUGUCCGAACAAAAGAUACUUCGGGUAUGAUCAUUGGUAGAUUAUAUAAUUACUUCGGGUAUGAUCAUUGGUAGACUAUAUAAUUGUUCUCUUCAUGGUGUGUGAUCAUCAUCUGUUCUUCAUUGGUACACAUUGCAGUUGUCCUUUUUUCUAGUGUUGUCCUUUUUGUUAGAUGAUGUUCCAAUGCCAGAUAUUUUGAUGAUGCCAGAUAUAAGCUAGCUUCGCCGCCUCACAGCUGCAGCAAGACCCUGAAUUGGGCAGCAUCGUGACGGACAAGAAGUCACUAUGAUGACUGCUCGAGGGUCACCAAGGUUGAGCCUCCUCAAAAAAGCUGUCAAAAGGGAUAGAGCAUCACCUCCUACAAGCAGUGUGACAAAGAGGAGGAGAGGGUCUCCCAAAGAAGAUAGAGCACAGUGGAAUGCAAGCCUUGAGAAAGAUCUUGUGGACUUGCUUCGUGAGCAUGAUACACCUGAACAUAAGGGUCAAAAUGGAUGGAGCUCAGAAGCAUGGAAUACGAUAGUGAAGAAAUUCCACCAAAAGAAUCCUUAUGCUAGGUACGAGAAGAAGAAAAUCCAAGAAAAGGAAAAAGAGUUGAAAAAAGAAUACAAGAUGAUCAAAGAGAUAAGGAAGCAAAGCGGUGUUUCAUGGGACGACCGGCAGUGCAGGAUUCUAGCGGAUCCACCACUUUGGAAAAACAUCAUCAUAUCACACCCUAAAGCUGGAAAGUUCAAGACAAAAGCCUUCCCUCUUUUUGAAGCUUUGGAAGAAUUGCAUGAUGGCCAAACUGCAGAAGGGACAUAUAACUUCACCUCUAUCGAGUCAUCACAUUGCUCAACCCAAUCACAUCUCGAGAAUCUUGGAGGAGCUAGCAAGAAUCAAGGAGAAACAUCAGCUGAUGGUGAGAAUCUUGGAGGAGAAAGGGUGCAGAUUGAUGAAGAUGUUGAGCAGGUUUACAUGCAAGAAAACAUUGCUGUGGAGCCCCAACAAACUCAACCAAAUUUGGCUACUGCACCCUCAAGAAAUGGAGAAGAGAAAGAACCAAAGAGAAGGAGGGGGCGAAUGGUGAUGUGGCUGCAAUGAUGGAGAAGUACUUGGAAAUAAGGACGAAGCAGGUGGAGGAUGAGAGGAAUAAGCCAAGGGUCGUGGAUGAGUACUCUAUCAAAAACUGCAUUGAUCUGCUGAAAACAAUGGAGAUCACACUUGAAGAAGAAGUCAAGGCUUUCCGAGUCUUCAAGAUCCCCGAGAACUGAGAGAUUUUCAUGAGUGCCAGACCAGAGACUGCUCUUAUGUGGUUGAGAGCUGAAAUGGAAUAACUCAGGAGUUCUACAUAAGAAUGCUCCCGAAGAAGAGCGAAGGUGCCACGACUUGGAUCUAUUUGUGUGUGCUUUUCAGUGGAAGGCUUCAUAUCUAUUCGCUGGGUUUUGUCCAUGUAAUAUUUGUAGAGAAACUAAACACUAUUUCUGAAACGACUGACUGUAGCAUGGAAGAUUUUGGGAGGAACUGAUAAUUAAGCUCUUGUGGUCUAUUCAACAUAUUAUAUAUUAUGUAUGCUCCAAAUUGCUAUUAUUUUUGUUAGUAUUUGUGCCCUGUUCAAAUCUUAGAAUUGUUGUUAUUGUUGGGAUAAUAAGUGUUUUAAACUGUCAGUGUUAUUGUCACUUCAGUCUGCAUCUGUGUAAUUACUACAUGAGAAUUGUUGUUAUCUAUAUGUACCACUUCAUCUAUGUCAAUACUGUUGUCCCUGUGGUCCAGUGCCCUUGGGGACUAACCGAAUGCAUGAGAGUGGCGUGGAUUGCAUACUGGCAAGGAUUUGGUCCCCAAGUGGUUUUGGUGUCAAGCGGGGAUCACCCAAUCCUCUAGAGGAUUAAAUCCACUAGAGGAUUAAUUCUGCUACAACCGAACAAGGCCUAAAGCUGGAAAGUUCAAGACAAAAGCCUUCCCUCUUUUUGAAGCUUUGGGAGAAUUGCAUGAUG